rnacentral:rRNA from 1 species
AGAGUUUGAUCAUGGCUCGGAUGAACGCUAGCUACAGGCUUAACACAUGCAAGUCGAGGGGAAACGGAACAUCGAAAGCUUGCUUUUGUAUGGGCGUCGACCGGCGCACGGGUGAGUAACGCGUAUCCAACCUGCCCACCACUUGGGGAUAACCUUGCGAAAGUAAGACUAAUACCCAAUGAUAUCUCUAGAAGACAUCUGAAAGAGAUUAAAGAUUUAUCGGUGAUGGAUGGGGAUGCGUCUGAUUAGCUUGUUGGCGGGGUAACGGCCCACCAAGGCGACGAUCAGUAGGGGUUCUGAGAGGAAGGUCCCCCACAUUGGAACUGAGACACGGUCCAAACUCCUACGGGAGGCAGCA